rnacentral:rRNA from 1 species
GGGGCCCGCACAAGCGGUGGAGCAUGUGGUUUAAUUUCGACGCAACGCGAAGAACCUUACCAGGGCUUGACAUCUUCUGACCGCUUAAGGAAACUUAAGCUUUCCGGAAGGUUUACUUUCUGGACAGAAAGACAGGUGGUGCAUGGUUGUCGUCAGCUCGUGUCGUGAGAUGUUGGGUUAAGUCCCGCAACGAGCGCAACCCCUACGGUUAGUUGCUAACGGGUAAGGCCGAGCACUUUAGCCGAACUGCCGUUGACAAAACGGAGGAAGCGGGGAUGACGUCAAAUCAUCAUGCCCUUUAUGUCCUGGGCUACACACGUGCUACAAUGGCCUGUACAAAGGGCAGCAAAGGGGCGACCCGGAGCAAAUCCCAAAAACAGGUCUCAGUUCGGAUUGCAGGCUGCAACUCGCCUGCAUGAAGGCGGAAUCGCUAGUAAUCGCAGGUCAGCAUACUGCGGUGAAUACGUUCCCGGGCCUU